rnacentral:rRNA from 1 species
UACGUAGGGUGCGAGCGUUGUCCGGAAUUAUUGGGCGUAAAGAGCUUGUAGGUGGUUUGUUGCGUCGACUGUGAAAACCCGCGGCUUAACUGCGGGCUUGCAGUUGAUACGGGCAGGCUAGAGUUCGGUAGGGGAGACUGGAAUUCCUGGUGUAGCGGUGAAAUGCGCAGAUAUCAGGAGGAACACCGGUGGCGAAGGCGGGUCUCUGGGCCGAUACUGACGCUGAGGAGCGAAAGCGUGGGGAGCGAACAGG